GGGUUUGUAGCCGAGCGGAGACGCAAGUCGAUAGGCACCUCGCUUUUAACGAGAUUGACGGGGGUUCGAAUCCCUCCAGACCCACCA
rnacentral:tRNA from 2 species